rfam:Coccidioides posadasii str. Silveira unplaced genomic scaffold supercont2.27, whole genome shotgun sequence.
UAGCUGUCAUGGCCUAAUUGGAAGACUGUCUGCUCAACACCCGCAGCCAACCCAUGAAUUCUGCUUAGUCAGAAAGGACGAGACGGUGCCUGGUUCGAAUCCCGGAGUCGCGACCCGGGCGUGGUUUUAUUUAAUGGACCGCGUCUUUUCUGGUUCUCCCACACUCGUGCGAGCAAUCCACGAACGGCUGUGGCGCGCUAGGCAAUGGAGGCGACGCUUGAGGGAAGCAAUUCUGCAGAGACACCUCCACUCCGGGAUGGCGGCACCAGAUCACAUCGGCUGUUCACUGUGGGUUGGCCGUGGAUUCUGGACGGUCAACUUUUUUU